rnacentral:rRNA from 1 species
CUACGGGAGGCAGCAGUGAGGAAUAUUGCACAAUGGGGGGAACCCUGAUGCAGCAACGCCGCGUGGAGGAUGACGCAUUUCGGUGUGUAAACUCCUUUUAUAUGCCAAGAAAAUGACGGUAGCAUAUGAAUAAGCACCGGCUAACUCCGUGCCAGCAGCCGCGGUAAUACGGAGGGUGCAAGCGUUACUCGGAAUCACUGGGCGUAAGGGACGCGUAGGCGGGUUGGAAAGUCAGGUGUGAAAUCCUACAGCUUAACUGUAGAACUGCACUUGAAACUUCUAAUCUAGAGUAUGGGAGGGGGAGAUGGAAUUAGUGGUGUAGGGGUAAAAUCCGUAGAUAUCACUAGGAAUACCUAAAGCGAAGGCGAUCUCCUGGAACAUUACUGACGCUAAGGCGUGAAAGCGUGGGGAGCAAACAGGAUUAGAUACCCGAGUAGUC